rnacentral:rRNA from 1 species
CGCGGCCUAUCAGCUUGUUGGUGGGGUAAUGGCCUACCAAGGCGACGACGGGUAGCCGGCCUGAGAGGGUGAUCGGCCACACUGGGACUGAGACACGGCCCAGACUCCUACGGGAGGCAGCAGUGGGGAAUAUUGCACAAUGGGCGAAAGCCUGAUGCAGCGACGCCGCGUGGGGGAUGACGGUCUUCGGAUUGUAAACCCCUUUCAGUAGGGACGAAGCGAAAGUGACGGUACCUGCAGAAGAAGCACCGGCCAACUACGUGCCAGCAGCCGCGGUAAUACGUAGGGUGCAAGCGUUGUCCGGAAUUACUGGGCGUAAAGAGCUCGUAGGCGGUUUGUCACGUCGUCUGUGAAAUCCUCCAGCUCAACUGGGGGCGUGCAGGCGAUACGGGCAGACUUGAGUACUACAGGGGAGACUGGAAUUCCUGGUGUAGCGGUGAAAUGCGCAGAUAUCAGGAGGAACACCGGUGGCGAAGGCGGGUCUCUGGGUAGUAACUGACGCUGAGGAGCGAAAGCAUGGGGAGCAAACAGGAUUAGAUACCCUGGUAGUCCAUGCCGUAAACGGUGGGCGCUAGGUGUGGGGUCCUUCCACGGAUUCCGUGCCGUAGCUAACGCAUUAAGCGCCCCGCCUGGGGAGUACGGA